GCAUCAUUCAAAUAUCUGCCCUAUCAACUCUCGAUGGUAUGUAUGAGGCUACCAUGGUUUCAACGGGUAACGGGGAAUUAGGGUUCGAUUCCGGAGAGGGAGCUGAGAAACGGCUACCACAUCCAAGGAAGGCAGCAGGCGCGCAAAUUACCCAAUCCCGACCGGGGAGGUAGUGACAAUAAAUAACAAUAUAGGGCUCUUUUGGGUCUUAUAAUUGGAAUGAGUACAAUUUAAAUCUCUUAACGAGAAACAAUUGGAGGGCAAGUCUGGUGCCAGCAGCCGCGGUAAUUCCAGCUCCAAUAGCGUAUAUCAAAGUUGUUGCAGUUAAAAAGCUCGUAGUUG
rnacentral:rRNA from 1 species